rnacentral:rRNA from 1 species
AGAGUUUGAUCCUGGCUCAGGAUGAACGCUAGCGACAGGCUUAACACAUGCAAGUCGAGGGGCAGCGGGGAGUAGCAAUACUUCGCCGGCGACCGGCGCACGGGUGAGUAACACGUGUGCAACCAACCCCGUACCGGGAGAUAACCCGCGGAAACGUGGACUAACAUCCCAUAAUACUGGAGGAUCGCAUGAUCUUUCAUUUAAAAUUCCGGUGGUACGGGACGGGCACGCGCGACAUUAGGUAGUUGGCGGGGUAACGGCCCACCAAGCCGACGAUGUCUAGGGGUUCUGAGAGGAAGGUCCCCCACACUGGAACUGAGACACGGUCCAGACUCCUACGGGAGGCAGCAGUGAGGAAUAUUGGUCAAUGGGCGAGAGCCUGAACCAGCCAAGUCGCGUGAGGGAAGAAUGGUCCAUGGCCUGUAAACCUCUUUUGUCAAGGAAGAAUAGACGGCACGCGUGCUGUUUUGCCAGUACUUGACGAAUAAGCAUCGGCUAACUCCGUGCCAGCAGCCGCGGUAAUACGGGGGAUGCGAGCGUUAUCCGGAUUUAUUGGGUUUAAAGGGCGCGUAGGCGGGACGCCAAGUCAGCGGUAAAAGACUGCAGCUAAACUGUAGCACGCCGUUGAAACUGGCGCCCUCGAGACGAGACGAGGGAGGCGGAACAAGUGAAGUAGCGGUGAAAUGCUUAGAUAUCACUUGGAACCCCGAUAGCGAAGGCAGCUUCCCAGGCUCGAUCUGACGCUGAUGCGCGAGAGCGUGGGUAGCGAACAGGAUUAGAUACCCUGGUAGUCCACGCCGUAAACGAUGCUCACUGGAUCUUGGCGAUACACUGCCAGGGUUCAAGCGAAAGUAUUAAGUGAGCCACCUGGGGAGUACGUCGGCAACGAUGAAACUCAAAGGAAUUGACGGGGGCCCGCACAAGCGGAGGAACAUGUGGUUUAAUUCGAUGAUACGCGAGGAACC